rnacentral:rRNA from 1 species
GGCAGAGGUGCCAAGCGUUAGGCGGAAUCACUGGGCUUAAAGCGUGUGUAGGCGGAUGUCUAAGUACCUUGUGAAAUCCCACGGCUCAACCGUGGAACUGCUUGGUAUACUGGAUGUCUUGAGCCAUCUAGGGGCUACCGGAACAAAUGGUGGAGCGGUGAAAUGCGUAGAUAUCAUUUGGAACGCCAAUGGUGAAAACAGGUAGCUGGGGAUGUGCUGACGCUGAGACACGAAAGCCAGGGGAGCAAACGGG